rnacentral:rRNA from 1 species
AUUGAACGCUGGCGGCAUGCUUUACACAUGCAAGUCGAACGGCAGCGCGGGCUUCGGCCUGGCGGCGAGUGGCGAACGGGUGAGUAAUACAUCGGAACGUGCCCAGUAGUGGGGGAUAGCUCGGCGAAAGCCGGAUUAAUACCGCAUACGACCUGAGGGUGAAAGCGGGGGAUCUUCGGACCUCGCGCUAUUGGAGCGGCUGAUGGCAGAUUAGCUAGUUGGUGGGGUAAAGGCCUACCAAGGCGACGAUCUGUAGCUGGUCUGAGAGGACGACCAGCCACACUGGGACUGAGACACGGCCCCGACUCCUACGGGAGGCAGCAGUGGGGAAUUUUGGACAAUGGGCGAAAGCCUGAUCCAGCAAUGCCGCGUGUGUGAUGAAGGCCUUCGGGUUGUAAAGCACUUUUGGCGGGAACGAAAAGGACUGUGCCAAUACCACGGUUCGAUGACGGUACCCGCAGAAUAAGCACCGGCUAACUACGUG